AUCUUCGCAUUUACCUCUUUUUCGAUGGGACAGCGUGUGAGGUCAAAAACACCCACCUCGCUAGGACGAAGCAGCAUCCACCAGACAUCAACAGUCAGUCUUCUGGAAUGCAACUCAAUCUCCCGAAACACAAAGUUCAGUAUCCCCAACAAUGAGGACAACCACACUGGAUUCUCCAUCACGAGCAGGAAUCAGAGUGCAGCGCAACCCAAAAAGUAUUAUAGGUACGAAUCUUCUAAAAAUUUAAGGGGCUUAUGAAUAGGGCAUUUAACCAGGUGAUGCAUAAAAUUCUGCAACAACAUGGGAACUCCAACAUGAUGGAAAUCGUUUUUGAUGCUCUGCAGGAAGCAGCAGAAACUUAUAUAGUGAAUCUAUUCGAAGAUGUUAAUCUCUGUGUACACUAUUCAGAGGGCGCGUUACACUACAUCCUAAAGACAUCCAGCUUCUUCAAAUCAUCAGGAAUGGAAUUUAACCAAAUAAUAAAUCAAUUUGAAUUAUAAUCGUUUAAUUUAAAUCACUAGAUUUUCAUUAUUUUGUAGAAGAGAAAAUGAGACGUACUCUCAUUUAUUGGCGACAGAAUAAAAAAAACACACAGUUUGAGUAAAACUCUAUUUAAUCUGUGGGACAUACAAUGCAAUGUACUAAAUUAUACGGUGUAAAAUAAAGAAAAGCACCUGAUGAA